GGAGAGGAGACAGGUGUGUUUCUGAGGGAUGGCGUCACUGAAAGGAAACCACCGCUUCCUGCUCUAGGUUCUUGGCUGGUUCCCUGGAAAAAGCCCAUUAAAAACUGGGCCAGAGCUUUGGGGAGCUGGAAGCUGUUGUUGCAGCCGCUUUAAAUUUCUCCAGAAUUACUGCCUGGUGAAGAGGAGCCUGAGUGGUGGAGGACUGGCCAGCUCUGCUGCUGAUGCUGAUACCCAUUUUUGGAUUCUCCUCCUGAUGCUCAUGAGGGAAGGAACAAGCUGCUGUAGCAUUUAAGAUAUAAGUCUCAGGGGCACUGAUGUUGCUUGGAGAGAGCUCUGCUUAGAAUGUGUAAGAAGAUGAAACUUCUUUCUCCUGAACCUCCCCUGCAGACUUACUGUUCCUGUGAUGUAUCGCAGACUCCUGUGUGCACCAGCUCAUCGUCGUCAGUCUCCACUCCAGAAAUGGCUGCACCUUAAUACUACAUUUUUCUUUCAAAAUAGUAUGCUAUCUUUCCGAUAGGAGAGCGCUAGAUAGCUGUGAAAU